rnacentral:rRNA from 1 species
CUUGUUGGUGAGGUAAUAGCUUACCAAGGCAAUGAUCAGUAGCUGGUCUGAGAGGAUGAUCAGCCACACUGGGACUGAGACACGGCCCAGACUCCUACGGGAGGCAGCAGUGAGGAAUUUUCCGCAAUGGGCGAAAGCCUGACGGAGCAAUGCCGCGUGAAGGAUGAAGGCCUGUGGGUUGUAAACUUCUUUUCUCAGAGAAGAAUUUUGACGGUAUCUGAGGAAUAAGCAUCGGCUAACUCUGUGCCAGCAGCCGCGGUAAGACAGAGGAUGCAAGCGUUAUCCGGAAUGAUUGGGCGUAAAGCGUCUGUAGGUGGUUUGAGAAGUCUCUUGUCAAAGAUCAGGGCUUAACCCUGGACCGGCAAGAGAAACUAUUAGACUAGAGUUCGGUAGGGGCAGAGGGAAUUCCCGGUGGAGCGGUGA